GAUGAACGCUGGCGGCGUGCCUAAUACAUGCAAGUCGAGCGAACGGACGAGAAGCUUGCUUCUCUGAUGUUAGCGGCGGACGGGUGAGUAACACGUGGAUAACCUACCUAUAAGACUGGGAUAACUUCGGGAAACCGGAGCUAAUACCGUAUAAUAUUUUGAACCGCAUGGUUCAAAAGUUAAAGACGGUCUUGCUGUCACUUAUAGAUGGAUCCGCGCUGCAUUAGCUAGUUGGUAAGGUAACGGCUUACCAAGGCAACGAUGCAUAGCCGACCUGAGAGGGUGAUCGGCCACACUGGAACUGAGACACGGUCCAGACUCCUACGGGAGGCAGCAGUAGGGAAUCUUCCGCAAUGGGCGAAAGCCUGACGGAGCAACGCCGCGUGAGUGAUGAAGGUCUUCGGAUCGUAAAACUCUGUUAUUAGGGAAGAACAUAUGUGUAAGUAACUGUGCACAUCUUGACGGUACCUAAUCAGAAAGCCACGGCUAACUACGUG
rnacentral:rRNA from 1 species